rnacentral:rRNA from 1 species
UUCCCCUAGUAACUGCGAGUGAAGUGGGAAAAGCUCAAAUUUAAAAUCUGGUAGUCUUKGGCUGCCCGAAUUGUAAUCUAGAGAAGCAUUAUCCGUGCUGGACCGUGUAUAAGUCCCCUGGAAUGGGGUGUCACAGAGGGUGAGAAUCCCGUCUUUGACACGGAUGAAUCAGUGCUUUGUGAUAUGCUCUCAACGAGUCGAGUUGUUUGGGAAUGCAGCUCUAAAUGGGUGGUAAAUUCCAUCUAAAGCUAAAUAUUGGCGAGAGACCGAUAGCGAACAAGUACCGUGAGGGAAAGAUGAAAAGAACUUUGAAAAGAGAGUUAAACAGUACGUGAAAUUGUUGAAAGGGAAACGCUUAAAGUCAGUCGCAUUGCUCAAGGAUCAACCUUGCUUUUUGCUUGGUGUAUUUCCUGAUCAAUGGGUCAGCAUCAAUUUUGGCCAAUAGAAAAGGGCUUGAGGAAUGUAGCAUCUUUAAGAUGUGUUAUAGCCUUUUGUCAUAUACAUUGGUUGGGAUUGAGGAACUCAGCAUGCCACAAAGGCCGGGUUUUAACCACGUCCAUGCUUAGGAUGCUGGCAUAAUGGCUUUAAUCGACCCGUCUUGAAACACGGACCAAGGAGUCUAACAUGCCUGCAAGUGUUUGGGUGGCAAAACCCAUGCGCGCAAUGAAAGUAAAAAUUGGGAUCUCUGUCAUGGAGAGCACCGAUGCCCGGACCAGACCUGUUGUGACGGAUCCGCGGUUGAGCAUGCAUGUUGGGACCCGAAAGAUGGUGAACUAUGCCUGAAUAGGGUGAAGCCAGAGGAAACUCUGGUGGAGGCUCGUAGCGAUUCUGACGUGCAAAUCGAUCGUCGAA